AGUGAACGCUGGCGGUAGGCCUAACACAUGCAAGUCGAACGGCAGCACAGUAAGAGCUUGCUCUUACGGGUGGCGAGUGGCGGACGGGUGAGGAAUACAUCGGACUCUACUUUUUCGUGGGGGAUAACGUAGGGAAACUUACGCUAAUACCGCAUACGACCUACGGGUGAAAGCAGGGGAACUUCGGACCUUGCGCGAUUGAAUGAGCCGGUGUCGGAUUAGCUAGUUGGCGGGGUAACGGCCCACCAAGGCGACGAUCCGUAGCUGGUCUGUGAGGAUGGUCAGCCACACUGGAGCUGAGCCGCGGUCCAGACUCCUACGGGCGGCAGCGGUGGGGACGAUUGGACACUGGGCGCAAGCCUGAUCCAGCCAUACCGCGUGGGUGAAGAAGGCCUUCGGGUUGUAAAGCCCUUUUGUUGGGAAAGAAAAGCAGCAGGUUAAUACCCCGCUGUUCUGACGGUACCCAAAGAAUAAGCACCGGCUAACUUCGU
rnacentral:rRNA from 1 species